GGUCUGGUUCCUCCGAUAGGGAGGAAGAAAAACAGCCUGCUUGUCAGACAAGAUGCGCAGCUCGCUCCUUCAAAAGCAGCACAAAGAAUCUCAUCCUGGCUGCCAUAGCUUUAGCCUCAAGCCAACUGCUGGUAAUUGGGUGAGCAGUGAUGUGAAUGCUGAUUUGGACGACGACAUCAACCAUUCAUCCCACGUUGUCUUGCACCAGCAUGAAAAUCAAUGGACAGAAAAAAAAACAUUUUCAAGUCUACAAAUACGAUUCCAAAACAGAACUUUAAGCACAACUCAACUGGUAAGAAAGACAGGAUAAUAGAGUGACAAAGAGCUUUAAAAAUCAAAAACGAGGCGCAGAAUUUUUAUGCGCCGCACCGGGAACAGUAAGGAGCUUCUAAGCACA